AUGGAAUCCGAUUCUCGCUCUGCGAGCUUCGACGCGCAAACGCAAUCUGCGUGGCUUUCUAAUCUCCAGAGCACGCUCCAGACCACGCCGGUUCUUCCUCCCCCAGAUCGAGAGCUAGGCUUCCUCAAUUGUCCCCCAGAUCGAGAGCUAGGGUUCUUCAACUGUCCACAAAUCGAGAGCGCAGGAGAUCAGGUCAAAAGAUCGAUGGCCCGUGAGGAGGGUUCGCGCACGGCGGCGGAUGAGAUUGCGGCCAAGCAUGCGUUGGCCGCCGGCGAGGAGCGCCCGCUGAAGCGGUGCCAGCAUGCUUCAACGGAGAAGCGCCCGCUGAAGCCUUGCGCCGCCAAAAGGAAGGCGGAGGCAGACGACGACGACGACGACGAGCUGCUCGCCGCCAAAAAGAAGGCCUUCUACGCCAAGUCAGGUCCAAGCAGAAAGAUGAAGCGGCUGCCGCGGGCGGAGGUGGCCUCGAUCCUUUCCAGUCGGACCCAUGCCGAUCACGCCCCUUCAUCCUACAAGGCACUGAAGCUCCAGAACCCGGACCUGAUUCCCUCGCCGGAAGAGGAGAUGGACGAGCUCAAGGUGGCAGAGUAUGCUGAUGCCCGCGACUUCUAUGAGGCUGCAGAGGAAGUCUCCAAAUUCCAUGCCUGGGUACGGAGCGAGUACGCCAAGAAUGGCUAUGUGGAGGUCGACGACGACUACCUCGCUCACAGGGAACAGGUCCGAGCUUGCGGCAACAGAGCACGGGAGGCUGCAUUCCAAGCGACGGACUUCUCUGAUGGAGACGAAGAUCUCAAGAUGUUUUUUAGGAAGGGACGGCACUGA
rnacentral:rRNA from 1 species